GCGAGAAUAGCUCAGUGGUAGAGCACGACCUUGCCAAGGUCGGGGUCGCGGGUUCGAAUCCCGUUUCUCGCU
rnacentral:tRNA from 1 species